CAUUAAGAAGCUAUGGAACAGCGCUAGCCUUUUAAGCUGGAGAAAGAGGGGCUUAUCCCCUCCUUAAUGA
rnacentral:tRNA from 2 species